CUGAAUAGGCGGUAAGGAAGGGGAGACAAUGGGUGUGAGCUAUGCAUUUGAUAAACACACAUGGAGGGAAAGAGAGACAGACAAUGACUGGAGAGAAAUGUGGGGAGUAAAGAAAGACUUUUGAUGAAAGGAAAGAGAUCUAAAAGGAACAACGGUUUUGAGUAAGGAGGAAGAAAUGGAGUGGAGCAAGACACAGCAGAUGGCUUGGCCUGUGGUGGGAGAAGGCUUCAUGCUUCACCUAAACAGAAGGAAAGGAGGCGGAGAUGGAGUUGCAAGCACCGUUGCAGUUUUGAAAGAAAAAUGAUGCUCUAUCAUGGACAAUGGACAACAGACUAACGGUGGCUUCGUGGCAGUGUCAGAGGAGGCUCUUGGGCAGGGUGUGGCAGUUAAAAGCUUGCUGAAUAAAAAGGAGACAUGACCCUGUGGAACUAGGAAAUCGAAGACCCUAUUUUCAAAGAAGGUCACAUUCUGAGGUACUACGUUGGGGAUAGGACUUCAACAUGUGAAUUUUGUGAGGACACAAUUCAAUACAGAACGACAUGCUAAUCAUUUUCCCUCCCUGGAAACUUCCAUAGCACAACUUCGCACUUUGGAGCCAUCACAGAGUUCCCGUCUUCUGCCUUUGUAUGCAGUGAGACAAUCCCUCCAUGGA